rnacentral:rRNA from 1 species
UACAGAGGUGGCAAGCGUUGUUCGGAAUUACUGGGCGUAAAGGGCGCGUAGGCGGCCCGUCAAGUCCCGUGUGAAAGCCCCCGGCUCAACCGGGGAACGGCGCGGGAAACUAGCAGGCUUGAGUUCGGGAGAGGGAAGCGGAAUUCCGGGUGUAGCGGUGAAAUGCGCAGAAAUCCGGAGGAACACCGGUGGCGAAGGCGGCUUCCUGGACCGACACUGACGCUGAGGCGCGAAAGCUAGGGGAGCAAACGGG